UACAGAGGGUGCAAGCGUUGUUCGGAAUUAUUGGGCGUAAAGCGCGUGUAGGCGGCCUGGCAAGUCGGGUGUGAAAGCCCUCGGCUCAACUGAGGAAGUGCGCCCGAAACUGCUGGGCUCGAGUGCCGGAGAGGGUAGCGGAAUUCCCCAAGUAGAGGUGAAAUUCGUAGAGAUGGGGAGGAACACCGGUGGCGAAGGCGGCUACCUGGACGGUGACUGACGCUGAGACGCGAAAGCGUGGGGAGCAAACAGG
rnacentral:rRNA from 1 species